AGAGUUUGAUCCUGGCUCAGGAUGAACGCUAGCUACAGGCUUAACACAUGCAAGUCGAGGGGCAGCAUGGUCUUAGCUUGCUAAGGCCGAUGGCGACCGGCGCACGGGUGAGUAACACGUAUCCAACCUGCCGUCUACUCUUGGACAGCCUUCUGAAAGGAAGAUUAAUACAAGAUGGCAUCAUGAGUCCGCAUGUUCACAUGAUUAAAGGUAUUCCGGUAGACGAUGGGGAUGCGUUCCAUUAGAUAGUAGGCGGGGUAACGGCCCACCUAGUCUUCGAUGGAUAGGGGUUCUGAGAGGAAGGUCCCCCACAUUGGAACUGAGACACGGUCCAAACUCCUACGGGAGGCAGCAGUGAGGAAUAUUGGUCAAUGGGCGAGAGCCUGAACCAGCCAAGUAGCGUGAAGGAUGACUGCCCUAUGGGUUGUAAACUUCUUUUAUACGGGAAUAAAGUGGGGCACGUGUGCCUUUUUGUAUGUACCGUAUGAAUAAGGAUCGGCUAACUCCGUGCCAGCAGCCGCGGUAAUACGGAGGAUCCGAGCGUUAUCCGGAUUUAUUGGGUUUAAAGGGAGCGUAGGCGGACGCUUAAGUCAGUUGUGAAAGUUUGCGGCUCAACCGUAAAAUUGCAGUUGAUACUGGGUGUCUUGAGUACAGUAGAGGCAGGCGGAAUUCGUGGUGUAGCGGUGAAAUGCUUAGAUAUCACGAAGAACUCCGAUUGCGAAGGCAGCCUGCUGGACUGUAACUGACGCUGAUGCUCGAAAGUGUGGGUAUCAAACAGGAUUAGAUACCCUGGUAGUCCACACAGUAAACGAUGAAUACUCGCUGUUUGCGAUAUACAGUAAGCGGCCAAGCGAAAGCGUUAAGUAUUCCACCUGGGGAGUACGCCGGCAACGGUGAAACUCAAAGGAAUUGACGGGGGCCCGCACAAGCGGAGGAACAUGUGGUUUAA
rnacentral:rRNA from 1 species